GACGAACGCUGGCGGCGUGCUUAACACAUGCAAGUCGAACGGAAAGGCCCUGCUUUUGUGGGGUGCUCGAGUGGCGAACGGGUGAGUAACACGUGAGUAACCUGCCCUUGACUUUGGGAUAACUUCAGGAAACUGGGGCUAAUACCGGAUAGGAGCUCCUGCUGCAUGGUGGGGGUUGGAAAGUUUCGGCGGUUGGGGAUGGACUCGCGGCUUAUCAGCUUGUUGGUGGGGUAGUGGCUUACCAAGGCUUUGACGGGUAGCCGGCCUGAGAGGGUGACCGGCCACAUUGGGACUGAGAUACGGCCCAGACUCCUACGGGAGGCAGCAGUGGGGAAUAUUGCACAAUGGGCGGAAGCCUGAUGCAGCAACGCCGCGUGCGGGAUGACGGCCUUCGGGUUGUAAACCGCUUUCGCCUGUGACGAAGCGUGAGUGACGGUAAUGGGUAAAGAAGCACCGGCUAACUACGUGCCAGCAGCCGCGGUGAUACGUAGGGUGCGAGCGUUGUCCGGAUUUAUUGGGCGUAAAGGGCUCGUAGGUGGUUGAUCGCGUCGGAAGUGUAAUCUUGGGGCUUAACCCUGAGCGUGCUUUCGAUACGGGUUGACUUGAGGAAGGUAGGGGAGAAUGGAAUUCCUGGUGGAGCGGUGGAAUGCGCAGAUAUCAGGAGGAACACCAGUGGCGAAGGCGGUUCUCUGGGCCUUUCCUGACGCUGAGGAGCGAAAGCGUGGGGAGCGAACAGGCUUAGAUACCCUGGUAGUCCACGCUGUAAACGGUGGGUACUAGGUGUGGGGUCCAUUCCACGGGUUCCGUGCCGUAGCUAACGCUUUAAGUACCCCGCCUGGGGAGUACGGCCGCAAGGCUAAAACUCAAAGGAAUUGACGGGGCCCCGCACAAGCGGCGGAGCAUGCGGAUUAAUUCGAUGCAACGCGUAGAACCUUACCUGGGUUUGACAUGGAUCGGGAGCGCUCAGAGAUGGGUGUGCCUCUUUUGGGGUCGGUUCACAGGUGGUGCAUGGCUGUCGUCAGCUCGUGUCGUGAGAUGUUGGGUUAAGUCCCGCAACGAGCGCAACCCUUGUUCACUGUUGCCAGCACGUUAUGGUGGGGACUCAGUGGAGACCGCCGGGGUCAACUCGGAGGAAGGUGGGGAUGACGUCAAGUCAUCAUGCCCCUUAUGUCCAGGGCUUCACGCAUGCUACAAUGGCUGGUACAGAGAGUGGCGAGCCUGUGAGGGUGAGCGAAUCUCGGAAAGCCGGUCUCAGUUCGGAUUGGGGUCUGCAACUCGACCUCAUGAAGUCGGAGUCGCUAGUAAUCGCAGAUCAGCAACGCUGCGGUGAAUACGUUCCCGGGGCUUGUACACACCGCCCGUCAAGUCAUGAAAGUUGGUAACACCCGAAGCCGGUGGCCUAACCGUUGUGGGGGAGCCGUCGAGGGUG
rnacentral:rRNA from 1 species